rnacentral:lncRNA from 1 species
CAAGCCAUGUUCCCAUGGUUUUUUUGUCAAAACAGAGCCAAUAUUUACAGGAAUAGUCACAAGUCCCCACAACAAACUCACAUGUAUGUAGAAAAAUUCAACCUUAAGACCCACAAAUAUUGAUGUUUCCCAUGUCCUCCUCCCAAAAUAAAGUAAAAUACCUUGAUGACAUUGUAUCUUCUAAUUUAUUUCCAGUUAAUAAUAUGAGCAGGAGGGAGCGAUUAUCACUAUAAAAAAUAAGAAAUUUAAAGUCGAGAAAAGAAGGAAGAGAGGUGUGAGGAAAAACUAAGGAGCGCGUGAAAUUAAAAUAACGGGGGAUGCGGUUGGAAUUACCUGCGACUGAUAUCCCUUAUUUCCAAGAUCAUAGUUGGGAAGAGGCUAGGCACACAUAUAUGUGUUUCGAAGGUCUCAACAAUCUUGCUCUUAUCACGCAAGGAGGCUGUGAAAGUAACAAGGUAACUAGUACCCUCCUCCGCAUCAAGUUUAAUUACCUUGACAAUUUUCAGUGAGGAAAUGUUAUGAAAUGCCUCUCUUUUUAUAUUACCUGUGCUCGCAAGAGACCGAGUGUGCAGUGUAAAAUGAUUAGAUAUUAAUAUUUAAGAAUAUUAAUUAAAAGAAAGAUAAAAAGAUAGUAGACAGACCUGGUCCAUGUUAUACAUGACAAGAGCAUACUGGGAGAGAAAAGGAGCCAUAUCUUCCAAAGUGUUCUACAGUGAGGAAAUUCAAUAUAUAUAAAUCAUAUGAGUGAGUAUAACAAGCACUAGUGCGCACAGAGGAGAUAGGAUACCGAAAGCAUAGCUAAAAGGAAUACAGAAACAUACAGCAGGGAAUGUUUUGAUGACGGGUUGUUGAGCAAUAUCAAGGGGCGGAUCUUGUUUAGACUUUUCACCAUUGUGACCAGACUGAGAAGAUUUGAGCUUAACAGGCUUAAUCUCUAUUUUUCGAUAUUUGCGAAAAAACUGUGUUAUUGUUGUUUUGAAAACUGUUAGCAUCCCCACGAGGUGACAGGGCUUCGAAAGUGAUAAAAUUUACCCAAUAGCCACCCUUCGCGGUCACUAUCUUACGCAACUUGACUAGGAUGAAUUGUGUAUGCUGUAUGUAUAAAUAGUUACCAUAGUACAAAGUCUUGGCUUAGAAUGAUUUGAACCAUAAGAAAAGGAAGAGCUUUUCAAGUCUGCUUAUCAAUCCACAUAAUUAACAAGAACAAUUCACACACACAAACUAAACAUAACGAGCUUGGACAGAAAUCUAAUCAUUUGUUUCAAAAGGUCAAAACAAUGACCAAUUCAUAAACAUAAUAUACAUGCAGAUGACUUUAUUUAGCAACUACUUUCUUUGUUCCCUUGUGCUCCUCCACAGGCACUGUUGCAAGCAAAUCCCUGCUUAUACAAACAACAGUCAAGACAUACUCAGCUUCCACAAAAAAUAUAUACACAACACAACUUUAACUACCAACAAAUAUGAACAGAUUAUCAACAAGAACAAGGUACCAACUGGAGUUACUUCAGGACACAUGUAAUAGGGAGAUCAUUGAAGAAAUCAAUCAAUUCCUUGAUACAGAACAUGGAAAAAUGCAAAUACCAGUUAUCUGACCUCACAUAACAAAAACAAGACUAAUGUAAUAGGGAGAUCUUCGAAGAAAUCAAUCAAUUCCUCGACAGAGAACAUGGGAAAAUGCAAUACCGAUUAUUUGACCUUAUACACAAAAAUAACCAUGUACAAUAAAGAGUAGAUACAGCUAAGCAAGUUCAUAAAAGGGAACUGUUAAGUGGUAUUAUUCUCUUGUAGUUUGUAGUUUACAAUUACAUGUUCAUAUUUUGUCGGUAUUUAAUAAACAAAAUGCAUGUUCAUUUUGGUUUUCACACUUAGACCGGAGUCCACCAGCGUAACCCAAAAAAGAAACAAUUUUCACAUGUCAUGCCCCUUUUGUUGGGUUGCGUUGGAGUUGCAUGCUUUGCAAACACAAACGAUAGAAUAUACACUCCCCUGUAUGUAGAACAAGAUUCGGCGACACAUCUGUAUUGUUUAAUUCAAUACUCAUCCAAAAUGAACAUGCUGGUAGCGUCACAGUACAGUGCAACACUGCGAUAAAUUUGCUAGUGGGACAUGGGCCUUGAGAUUGAGAUUGAGGGGAAGGACACAUGUCUAGCACUAUUGGGCCUUUUUACAGACAAAUUGUAUUUUCCGCUUAUAUAAAUUAAUGCCCCCCCCCCCCCCCCCCCCNNNNNNNNNNNNNNNNNNNNNNNNNNNNNNNNGGUUCUGGUAUGUGCUUCAAGGUGGAAUUUCCAGGCUCGUGUUGGAAGUCAAAAGGCUGGAGCUCAUAAUGCUUAUUCCCUAGUUUUCGUGUGUCACAUCUAUCCCGUCAGUUUCUAUUCAUGCCAUUCGCAGAUUUCAAUCAACAUAUCAUCAGGCUAGGACGUCAAGUUUUAUGCCGCCAUACAAUAUUAGUGUCCCAAGAUAAUUUCAAACUAAAAAGUUUAUAUUAUUAAAAAAACGGUAGGUGUAUUCUGUAGUUGUAGCAGAAAUGGAGCUUCCCUUCCAUGACACCGAAGGCAUAAAAGCAUGAAAUCAUGUCUCCGUGAACUGAACAUGAAAUAUGGACUUAAAGCCACGCAGUGUAAUUAAAUUGCCCUAAUAGAAAUAUCUAACCAUUUUCCACACCUAACGAUUCAUAUUCAUCACAGAACUGUUUAUCCUCAAUUAACCAAGAAAUGCACAGAGGUUCUGUUUCCACAGUCAACAACAUAAUGAUAAAGCACCCCUAGUUAAAAAAACACAAAUAAAUAAAUAAAUAAAUAAAUAUGUGUGUGUGUGUGUGGGGGGGGGGGGGGGGGGGAAUUACAGAUCCACUNNNNNNNNNNNNNNNNNGGGGGGGGGGGUUGUGCAUGCCAUGUUCCCAUGGUUUUUUUGUCAAAACAGAGCUAAUAUUCACAGGCAUAGUCACAAGUCCCCACAACAAACUCACAUGUAUGUAAAAAAAUUCAACCUUAAGUCCACGUGACACGAAUAAAACAAUAAGAGUGGUGAGUGGAGAAGACUGAUAGUUAGAUUAGACACUUUGUUUGGAUCAAUGGUUAAUCGAAAUCCCACAAAUAUUGAUGUUUCCCAUGUCGUCCUCCCAAAAUUAAGUAAAAUACCUUGAUGAAACUGUAUCUUCUAAUUUAUUUCCAGUUAAUAAUAUGAGCAGGAGGGAGCAAUUAUCACUAUAAAAAAAUAAGAAAUUUAAAGUCGAGAAAAGAAGGAAGAGAGGUGUGAGGAAAAACUGAGGAGCGCAUGAAAUUAAAAUAACGGGAGAUGCGGUUGGAAUUACCUGCGACUGAUAUCCCUUACUUUCAAGAUCAUAGUUGGGAAGAGGCUAGGCACACAUAUAUGUGUUUCGAAGGUCUCAACAUUCUUGCUCUCAUCACGCAAGGAGGCUGUGAAAGUAACAAGGUAACUAGUACCCUCCUCCGCAUCAAGUUUAAUCACCUUGACAACUUUCAGUGAGGAAAUGUUAUGAAAUGCCUCUCUUUUUAUAUGACCUGUACG